UACGAAGGGGGGCUAGCGUUGCUCGGAAUCACUGGGCGUAAAGCGCACGUAGGCGGCUUUCUAAGUCAGGGGUGAAAUCCUGGAGCUCAACUCCAGAACUGCCUUUGAUACUGGGAAGCUCGAGUCCGGAAGAGGUGAGUGGAACCUCCGAGUGUAGAGGUAGAAAUUCGUAGAUAUUCGGAAGAAACACCGAGUGGCGA
rnacentral:rRNA from 1 species